rnacentral:snoRNA from 1 species
UCACAAAUUGAUCUCUUCAAUUUAAUGCUUGGAAGUUGCCAUUCCCGUGCACCUUCCACAGCCCGGUUGCAGAAACAUGA